GAUGAACGCUAGCGACAGGCCUAACACAUGCAAGUCGAGGGGCAGCAUAAAGGUAGCAAUACUUUGGUGGCGACCGGCGCACGGGUGAGUAACACGUAUGCAACCUACCUGUAAGAGGGGAAUAACCCGGAGAAAUUCGGACUAAUACCGCAUAAUACUGAUUAUCUGCAUGGAUUGAUCAGUUAAACAUUUAUGGCUUACAGAUGGGCAUGCGUAUGAUUAGAUAGUUGGUAGGGUAACGGCCUACCAAGUCAACGAUCAUUAGGGGUUCUGAGAGGAAGGUCCCCCACACUGGUACUGAGACACGGACCAGACUCCUACGGGAGGCAGCAGUGAGGAAUAUUGGUCAAUGGGCGAGAGCCUGAACCAGCCAAGUCGCGUGAAGGAAGAAGGUUCUAUGGAUUGUAAACUUCUUUUGUAAGGGAAUAAAAGAAGUUACGUGUAACUUAUUGUAUGUACUUUACGAAUAAGGAUCGGCUAACUCCGUGUCCAGCAGCCGCGGUAAA
rnacentral:rRNA from 1 species